GGAUGUGAGGGCGAUCUGGCUGCGACAUCUGUCAUCCCAUUGAUCGCCAGGGUUGAUUCGGCUGAUCUGGCUGGCUAGGCAGGUGUCCCCCUCCUCCCUCACCGAUUCAUGUGCGUCCCUCCCGAAGCUGCGUGCUCGGUAGAAGAGGAGCGCUCCCCUGCUAGAACCUGCAAACAAGCUCUCAAGAAUUCAUUCAUAGUGACUAUAGUUAUAAUACUGCUGUAUAUAUUAGAGAAUUGCUAAGACAGGAGAUCUUAAAAGUUCCCAUCACAAGAAAAAAAAUUUGUAGCUAUGUGUGUUAAUAGAU
rnacentral:snRNA from 1 species